rnacentral:misc_RNA from 1 species
UGGUUCUGGCAUCGAUGAAGAACGCAGCGAAAUGCGAUAAGUAAUGUGAAUUGCAGAAUUCAGUGAAUCAUCGAAUCUUUGAACGCACAUUGCGCCCGCCAGUAUUCUGGCGGGCAUGCCUGUUCGAGCGUCAUUUCAACCCCUCAGGCCCUGGUGCCUGGCGUCGGGGCUCUUCCCUCGCGGGAAGCCCCUAGAGACAGUGGCGGACCCGCCGCGGCUCCGAGCGCAGUAGUAAUAUUCUCGCUUAGGAGGUCCGCGGGGGGCUCCCGGCCGUGAAACCCAGCCCCUAAGAAGGCUGAAUCAUCAAGGUUGACCUCGGAUCAGGUAGGAAUACCCGCUGA